GAUCUUUCCUCCUGGUUGUUCCACACUUCUGCACAUUUCGGUUUUAGAAGCCGGGAUAUGAAAGAUGCACUUGCUGACAAUUUAGCCUUUGAAAGGUUAGAGUGCUUGUGUCAGAUACCACUGCUCUGUGAAAUGGUUCUGUACUUGCAGCACUAUGGAUUGGUUAAACAGGUAGAUCCCUGAUGUAUUUUGAACAAAAGUUGACUAUUAAAAGUGCAACGUGAAGUGGAGCAAUUUUACGUGGAGUUUCAUAAUAGGACAGGAAGCAGACUAAAGAAAAGAAAAAUAAAGAUAAUAAGUGUUCACA
rnacentral:lncRNA from 1 species